rnacentral:lncRNA from 1 species
UUUUUGUAUACUUAUCACCCGUUUAUGUUAACCCAAAAACUGUAUUAAUUUUUUAAAUCACCCUUUUUACUGACUCUCUUUUUGUCGAGAUUCGAUUUAGCUAGUCGCCUAACUAUGUUUCAUCAUUUGUAUUGUUGAAUUUCUCUUUUAAAAAAACACUGAAAAAAAUUUCUGAAAAAAAUAAUAAUAAAAAAAUUGAAACAUUUGCCCUUAAU